rnacentral:rRNA from 1 species
AAGUCGUAACAAGGUUUCCGUAGGUGAACCUGCGGAAGGAUCAUUACUGGGUUUCGGGACUCGCUCCCACUCACCCGCCCUUUGUCAUACGCAAUUCCAUAUUUCGGCCCCUGGCUCCCCGAGCGCCCCCGCUAUUUGCUUAGCGGGGUACCGCCUGUUGAACCGCGGGUCGGCAUUGCAAAACCAAACGUCAUACUGAAGUCUGAUAACCAAUUUCAAACGAAAUUAAAACUUUCAACAACGGAUCUCUUGGUUCUGGCAACGAUGAAGAACGCAGCGAAAUGCGAUAAUUAAUGUGAAUUGCAGAAUUCAGUGAAUCAUCGAAUCUUUGAACGCACAUUGCGCCUCCUGGUAUUCCGGGAGGCACGCCUGUCCGAGCGCCAUUACACCCCCCAAGCCAUGCUUGAUGUUGGGCCAUGACACGUCGUCAGGCCCCAAACCUCUGGGCGCCCCUCACCGGCCGCGAACGUAGCAAGAAAUCUUUUUUCCCUCGUUCCGCGUGUCUUCCGGUGGGCGGGUCGCCGUAGACCCUCAAACUUUUACAAGGUUUGGCCUCGGAUCAGGCGGGGAUACCCGCUGAACUUAA